rnacentral:rRNA from 1 species
UACGUAGGGUGCGAGCGUUAAUCGGAAUUACUGGGCGUAAAGCGUGCGUAGGCGGUUCGUCAAGUCUGAUGUGAAAGCCCCGGGCUCAACCUGGGAACUGCAUUGGAAACUAGCGAGCUUGAGUGUGGCAGAGGGGGGUGGAAUUCCACGUGUAGCAGUGAAAUGCGCAGAUAUCAGGAGGAACACCAAUGGCGAAGGCAGCUCUCUGGUACGUGACUGACGCUGAGACGCGAAAGCGUGGGUAGCAAACAGG